rnacentral:rRNA from 1 species
CCUACGGGUGGCUGCAGUGAGGAAUAUUGGUCAAUGGGCGGGAGCCUGAACCAGCCAAGCCGCGUGAGGGAAGAAGGUACUGCGUAUUGUAAACUUCUUUUGUCAGGGAACAAAGGCGGGGACUAGUUCCCGGAUGAGGGUACCUGAAGAAAAAGCAUCGGCUAACUCGGUGCCAGCAGCCGCGGUAAUACGGAGGAUGUGAGCGUUAUCCGGAUUUAUUGGGUUAAAGGGGGGGGCAGGCGGCCUGUUAAGUCAGCGGUAAAAGCCCGGGGCUCAACCCCGGCGAGCCGUUGAAACUGGGUUGCUGGAGUUGGAGAGAAGUACGCGGAAUGCGCGGUGUAGCGGUGAAAUGCGUAGAUAUCGCGCAGAACCCCGGUGGCGAAGGCAGCGUACCGGCUCCACACUGACGCUGAGGCACGAAAGCGUGGGUAGCGAACAGGAUUAGAUACCCGGGUAGUC